GCCGGGAGUGGUGGUGUACUUCUGUGAUCCAACUACUCGGAGGUUAGGUGUAGAGAAUGUUUUAAGGGGAGGGGGUUUUGGGAUUGAAUUUUCCACGUUGAAUAGGCGUCCGCUAGGGGUAAAUGUUCGACUUGGAUGCCUUGGGGGAGCCCCGAGGUAGCCAGUUUGAGUUCGAAAAGGGAAAAAAUUGGCCCAAAAGUCUCACCGAGUUGAGAGUCGUGGGUUCAAAUCCUGGGAGUGGGAGUUCAGUUUUAGCUCGUUCAAACAGGAACAGACCUGUACCUAC
rnacentral:SRP_RNA from 2 species